rnacentral:rRNA from 1 species
UACGGAGGAUCCGAGCGUUAUCCGGAUUUAUUGGGUUUAAAGGGUGCGUAGGCGGCCUAUUAAGUCAGGGGUGAAAGCCGGUAGCUUAACUAUCGCAGUGCCUUUGAUACUGAGUGGCUUGAAUGAACUAGAGGUAGGCGGAAUGAGACAAGUGGCGGUGAAAUGCAUAGAUAUGUCUCAGAACACCGAUUGCGAAGGCAGCUUACUAUGGUUUAAUUGACGCUGAGGCACGAAAGCGUGGGGAUCAAACAGG